GAACGCAUCUUGCACCCUUUGGUAUUCCAAAGGGUACGCCUGUUUCAGUAUCAUUAUAACCUUUCUCCCCAAGGCUUUUUGGCCAAGGAGGGAAAGAGCAUAACCGGUGGCCCAGCGGUCUCCCAUCAGGGGGAUUGUCUCGGCUGGAAUGACUGUUGCAAUGGUGGGCCAAAUGGUCUUCCGCACUUGAUAAAUGUACUUUUAUAAAGAGCGGGGCCGGUCUGCCGAAAGUUGUAACUAAACCCUUUACCUUUGAUCUGAAAUCAGGCGGGAUUACCCGCUGAACUUAAG
rnacentral:misc_RNA from 1 species